GACAGGACGCCCGCGCAUGUGGCUCCUCUGACGACGAAGCUUCUCUGCCUGCCGUGGAUUCAGGGGGUGUCGAUCCGGCUGGGUCCUCUACUCCUCUUGCUCUUGUGGUGCCACGAGGAGUUCUUCAUCUGGGACUGCGACAGGAAUUGAUCGAGAGAGCUCCUGCUGCUUUCUUUCUCUCUCUCCCAGGUCUGUGGUGAUAACUCACUGCUACGUGUCGGUUAUGGUCACCUCCCUAUGGCACCCUAGGAGGCACUAGGGGCUGCGUGUUGAUCUACUGCUGCAGAUUUAGUUGCAUGACCCGUCACUCCGAGCGGUCGGUGCAAGUACAGGGGGAACUUAAUCAUCCUGCGCUCUAUUGGUCGCCAAGCACCAUUUGAGACUGUUGAAACGUGAAUGGAUCAUGAGUUGUUUCUUCUUGUAUAAUCUUGAGUGUCUAGUCCAAUCUUCAUCUUAUACCUGCUGUCGGUGGUGUGUGGUUCUCUGCAAAUGCAAGGCCAUCAAAAAACACUUUCCAGAAUGCAUUGGACCUAUGUACUA